rnacentral:rRNA from 1 species
AGUGAACGCUGGCGGUAGGCCUAACACAUGCAAGUCGAACGGCAGCACAGUAAGAGCUUGCUCUUACGGGUGGCGAGUGGCGGACGGGUGAGGAAUACAUCGGAAUCUACUUUUUCGUGGGGGAUACGUAGGGAAACUUACGCUAAUACCGCAUACGACCUACGGGUGAAAGCAGGGGAUCUUCGGACCUUGCGCGAUUGAAUGAGCCGAUGUCGGAUUAGCUAGUUGGCGGGGUAAAGGCCCACCAAGGCGACGAUCCGUAGCUGGUCUGAGAGGAUGAUCAGCCACACUGGAACUGAGACACGGUCCAGACUCCUACGGGAGGCAGCAGUGGGGAAUAUUGGACAAUGGGCGCAAGCCUGAUCCAGCCAUACCGCGUGGGUGAAGAAGGCCUUCGGGUUGUAAAGCCCUUUUGUUGGGAAAGAAAAGCAGCAGGUUAAUACCCCGCUGUUCUGACGGUACCCAAAGAAUAAGCACCGGCCAACUUCGUG